AUUGAACGCUGGCGGCAGGCCUAACACAUGCAAGUCGAGCGGAUGAAGGGAGCUUGCUCCUGGAUUCAGCGGCGGACGGGUGAGUAAUGCCUAGGAAUCUGCCUGGUAGUGGGGGAUAACGUCCGGAAACGGGCGCUAAUACCGCAUACGUCCUGAGGGAGAAAGUGGGGGAUCUUCGGACCUCACGCUAUCAGAUGAGCCUAGGUCGGAUUAGCUAGUUGGUGGGGUAAAGGCCUACCAAGGCGACGAUCCGUAACUGGUCUGAGAGGAUGAUCAGUCACCCUGGAACUGAGACACGGUCCAGACUCCUACGGGAGGCAGCAGUGGGGAAUAUCGGACAAUGGGCGAAAGCCUGAUCCAGCCAUGCCGCGUGUGUGAAGAAGGUCUUCGGAUUGUAAAGCACUUUAAGUUGGGAGGAAGGGCAGUAAGUUAAUACCUUGCUGUUUUGACGUUACCAACAGAAUAAGCACCGGCUAACUUCGUG
rnacentral:rRNA from 1 species